rnacentral:tmRNA from 1 species
CAUUCAUGAGCCUAAUUUCACUAGCGUUGACUCAUGGGUGAAACCUUAGUUAGUGUGACAAUGAAUUAUUGCUUGCCAUGAUUCAUCUAAGAUUUAUGACAAGCCUUAAGUAAAAUCCGUUUGUUUAUUCACGUUUUACUUAAUAUGAAAGAUAAACUAAGUCUGUAGGUGGUGUUAUUGUUCAGUUGCGGACGCGGGUUCACUACCCGCCAUCUCCACAU